CCUACGGGGGGCAGCAGUGGGGAAUAUUGUACAAUGGGCGCAAGCCUGAUGCAGCCAUGCCGCGUGUGUGAAGAAGGCCUUCGGGUUGUAAAGCACUUUCAGCGGGGAGGAAGGCGGUGAGGUUAAUAACCUCAUCGAUUGACGUUACCCGCAGAAGAAGCACCGGCUAACUCCGUGCCAGCAGCCGCGGUAAUACGGAGGGUGCAAGCGUUAAUCGGAAUUACUGGGCGUAAAGCGCACGCAGGCGGUCUGUCAAGUCGGAUGUGAAAUCCCCGGGCUCAACCUGGGAACUGCAUUCGAAACUGGCAGGCUAGAGUCUUGUAGAGGGGGGUAGAAUUCCAGGUGUAGCGGUGAAAUGCGUAGAGAUCUGGAGGAAUACCGGUGGCGAAGGCGGCCCCCUGGACAAAGACUGACGCUCAGGUGCGAAAGCGUGGGGAGCAAACAGGAUUAGAUACCCCAGUAGUC
rnacentral:rRNA from 1 species